CCAAAAUUCUGUAAAACUGAAAAAGAAAACAAUAACGAAUGUAUUACGCGGACGUAAAACGAAAAGCUGAUAAGUGAUAAGGAGCGAAAUGUUUUUUGGACAAACUAUUCAUUGGAGGCUAAAAACGACAGAAAUCCACGUGCAUUGCGAUGAUGACAUUUGAUUGAUGAUCCGACUAAUGUUUACUUUUUCCCUUCUUCCGUUUUCAACAGAUCACAACCAGCCGCAGCAAUGAAUUGCUCCCCCUCGAUCGACUCGUCGUCCCAGGAAGCGAUGGGUAUCAGUACGGCUAAUCGUACCGCCAGCAGCGUGAAGCAACUGUUACGCACCGAACAAUCGUCAGCAAACAAAAAAUUACAAUUCGGACAAAGUCGACUCGGAUGAGGAGCAGUAGCACUAGCGCAGAUCGUCUGUGCUGUUUCAGUUACACACUGUCUGCAGCCAAAAUUAUCACCAGCUGAUGGACAAUUUGUUCGAAAGUUCGAUAGUUCCAAUCACAUCGCCACAACAAUAAUAUACAAUAAACUACAGCGGGAAGCGUCCGCACUCGCUUAUCACGGCUAGCAACAUUCUAAAGCAGCUCUUUGCGAUGGCACUCAGCGACGACUACCAACAGCAGCCCACAAACCCUACCAUCAAAGCACGAUUUCGGAGCAUACCCGGUCGCUAAACAACAGAAAAUUCGCGACCGGGGGUUAACGGAGAGUCAUUUUGUGUAUAAAAUUGCUCCAAAGUAAUUUCGUCCGCUUCCUUGCUGGAACCGUCGGCGAAGAUAACGGUACGAACGUGGUGUACGAGAACUAUUUUAGCAGAUCCGAUGUUCCGCUGCACAAGCGUCGAGGAGAGGCUGGUGGCUUCCGGUGCAAGAGCAACAACUGCGACACAGAAGAUUCAAAUCAAUCGUCGAUACAGCAGAAGAAAAAAUCCACCUGCAACCUAGGCCCAAACCAAAUCAGCUGCCUCUACUGUCAAUGCAUGUUACCCUCGGACAACUUCAGGAGACUGCUAUCUCGUCGAAUGAAUUACUCAUGACAGAUUCCGCCGCCAAGGAGUGUUUUACUGACAUUGACCUCCAAGGGAGAGAUGUUAGAAAACAGAAAAGAAAGGUCCCCGAUUCAAAGCUAUAAUGUGGCCGAGUGAAAAACAUACAACAUACAUGCAGCUUCCAUCGGGAUUACCAGUGAGAAUAGCUAUUCCAUGUGUUGAACGCGAUUGUUGCAUUUGGCAACGUAUUCGCGAUAGGGGCACCCGUGAGCAACGUGAACCACAUCAAGAAGAGCAAAGAGCGUACGACAUGCAUUAUCGAGGAUUUGUGUUUCGAUGUCCCAUCCGAGUAUGUACGACGUGGUUCCGAUUUCCAUCUUCAAAUCACCUCCGAAGUUGAGGAUGAAUUGAUGUAAUUUGCGAUUUGGGUCGCGUAGCGAGAACGACGAGGUGGAUAUAUGGGAAGCACUGAGAGUCCAACUGCCACUAACAUUAAACUUCUACGAAGGCGAUAAGUUGCGAGGGCUUGUAUGUUUGUUUGUAUUUUUACUCUCUAUUGUUUGACAUAUGAAUUUUUGGCGUAUUUGGAUUCUUUUUAACGGUGAAAAACACCUGCCGCACUCAAGGCCUUUUUCAUAACGAAACUCAAUUUUUGUAUUUCAACCAUGUGGUUCUGCCUAAGCUGUAGAGGAUGAGGAUGCCCGAAAAAGCAUGCUAUUGAGUACUGUAAUACAAAACUCACUCGUUAAAAGCCUACUGGAAAAGCUUUUCAAUAAUUAAAUAAAAAUAAAAAUAUUUCAACACAGCU